rnacentral:lncRNA from 7 species
AGAGAGCCCAGCAGGGAGUGUGGAGAUGGAGAGCGAGCAGAGAGCUGAGCAGGGCGCUGAGCAGCACCAUUGCUGUGGGCUCCUGCAGCAGGACCUGGCUGAGCUCUGCACCCCAACCGGCAUCGCCUCCGUCCCCACGGUCACCGUGCGGCCGUUCUCUGUAGAGGACGCGUUUCUUCUGCUGUGGUUUGGAGCCCCCCAGGACGGCCCUUCCUCAUCAGCCCCCCUCCCACGCCGGGUGGGCUCUGCCUCUGCUUCCAUCCGUGCCGUUUCCCCUCAUCCCGUCCCUGCAGACCGCUGAGAAGAGGUUGGCCGCGUCCCUUUGGCUCCCACAGAGAUGGAUGGACCCCGAGCAGAUCCCCUCUCAGCCUCCCUUUCUCAGGGCUGAACAGCCCCGGGUCGCUCAGCCUCUCCUCGCAGGGAGAUGCUCCAGGCCCUGCAUCACCUCUGAGCCCUCCGCUGGGCUCCCUCCAGGAGAUCGCUGUCUGUUUUGUGCUGGGAGCCCGGAACUGAACCCGGUAUGCCAAACGUUGGAAUGAAAGCAUUGGAAGGAAGGGAAGCCAUCCAUUGGGACCCGGGCAGGCUGGAGAAGCGGGCCCGUGAGAACCUAACGAGGUUCAAUAAGGCCAAGUGCAGAGUGCUGCAUUGGGUCGGGGCGAUCCCAGGUGUUUAUGCAGACUGGGGGAGGAUCUCCUUGAGAGCAGCCCUGCGGAGAAGGACGUGGGGGGUCCUGGGGGACGGGAACUGCACAUGAGCCAGCUGACGUGCGGCAAUCAGACCCUACAGGUAAGGAUAUAGAGCAGGUAUGUGUUUAUUGGUGACGCGCGUACACCCCGGUGCAAGGGGGAUCAUUCCACUGUCCGAAGAAAUGGUGCUGUAGAUAUAGGUGAAACUAAUACAUAAUCAGUAGUUGACAGGAAUUCGGAUCCACAUUCACUACAUUCCCGAGAGCCCAUCAGCAUGCAGUCCCUCCCCCCGUUGCACGUGCGUGGUAGGCCGUGAUGAUGAAGGCUCGGAGUCUUCCUCGCGAAGGCUCAUAGUCUUCCUCGCUGCAAACUUCUGACCCUGAAGGGGGGGCAUCCCCCAAUCUGGUUCCAGCUCACACUGCAGACAUCUCAUCGCCUCCCUGCCAAAUGUUUUCGAGCUGUUCUCCGGUCCUUAUCUUUAUGGCCUUCACUCUCCUUGUUAUUCUGGACCUAGCGCCUGUGAAAGUGCUUGGAACCCCACGUUUUCUAACACUCUCUACAUAAACUAUCUCUAUUUGCCC